UCCCAGGGCGGCGCGGCCAGGGGCCAAGGCCUCCAGAGGCCGCCGUUCUGUCGCAACUGGAAGGAGCUGUCGGAGAGAAGGGAACCGGGGAAAGGGGGGUCUCAGUGCGGAGAGAGUUUUGGAAAAGAACGUUGAUAUUGCCCGACCCGCAGGGCGCCAUGGGAAAGGUAGUUCGGCGCAGACUAGCGGCUGGACUACAACUCCCAGCAUGCCCCUGGAGGAGCCAGCAGGGCGUCUGCGGUGGCCUACUCCGCCACGAAGAUUCCCCUCCUGAUGCUGAUUUUACCUGAUCAUCCGAGUGCCGAGAGUGGGAGUGGACAACGUGAUUUCAUCUGCCAAACGCAAAAGAUUUGGAAGGCUGCAUAUUAUUUAGUCUUUGUCGCUGCAUCAGUUCUUUACUGACACAGUAAUGUUGACGACAAACCACCUGAAGACUCAUUCUUCUCAUUCACAAGUCUGUGGUAGCUGAGCCAUUGUCUGAUCUUGUCUGGACUGGACUCGCUCAGGUGUCUGCAAUCAGCUGCUGAUCCCGGCUGGGAUCUCCCACAGGGUGAGAGUUGGCUAGCUUUUGUCUGGAUAGGAUAAUCUCUGCUUUUCUCCACGUGUCUCUUACAUCCCUCCUAGCUGAGACAAGUUCUCAGGCUGAGGAAGAGAUGCAGAAGUGGGCAAGCUCAGUUCACAAGACAGCAAGCAGAAAUGCACAGGUGCUUUUCAAGCCCCUGCUUGUUGGUGUCUGUUAACAUUCCAUUGGCCUAGGUGAGUUAUCUGGCCGAACCCAUAGUCAGAGGCCCAGGGGAGUACAAAGUUACAAGGCAAAGGGAGACAGGAGUCCUUAAUUGGUGUCAUUAAUAGAAUACAUGUUUGUGUUUAUUAGUUUAUGUUUAUCUGUUUAAUAAACUCUAUAUAGUUCAUUUCAUAUUGUGAAUUCAGUCAUUCCCCUUCUCAAAAUAAAAUUUCUACUCUUGUUACUUGUUAUUAAUAAAAUACAAGAAAAAAAUCAGAAUAGGCAAGCAAAAUGAGCAUAAAGGAUGCUACUAAUCCCCACUUAUAGAGACAAUCACUCUUGCAUAUUCUCACUCUCUCUCUCUGUAUAUAUGUCUAUACAUCUGAUUAUAUGCAGAUUAAUUUUAUAGAUUAGCUAUAUAGAUAGUUAUGUAAAUUAGUUAUAUAGAAAAGUACUUAAAAUUAUAAUACAAAAAUGCAUUUAGAGCAGUUAUUCAGUCUCAAGGAAAUGUCAUGUUUCACAGUGUUAUGCGAAACUCACUGGCAUAUGGAAAAUCAUUGUCUUCAGGCACAGGCUUCUUAUACUCUGUAUGACUUUCAUCUUUUGAAUGAGAUGCUCAUGCUUCUGCAGCAGGUAUAGCUUCUGGUUUUCAUGUGGUCAGUGACAUUGCCACAUGCCCCAUGGGAUGGUAAAUGUUGACAUUUUGUGAAAGUAAUAAAUUCAUAAUCAGUUUUCUUGAGAAAUUAAAAUUAAGUAUUUAAGUUUUAUUAAACAUAUGCUUUCUUUUUUUUUCCCCUUUGUGCUCAUUUUUGUCAAAGGUCUUAUUACACAAUAUAAAAGUGUUACCAAACAAUAGCAUAAAUAAAUAAUUGAAAUUAUCACCAUACAAUGAAUGACAAAACCACUGUGACAAGCGUGUCCAGUCUAUUUUCAACAUACUCUAUUGCAGCACUGUUCUGCCUCUAUGUCCUGCAUGUAGUUCACAUAAUUUAACCUAGAAUUUCCCAGAUUUCCCACUGACUGGUGGCCUAGCAGUCCUGGCACUGCUGUGUGGUAUGCCGGAUAGUCAUCAGGGGUACCACAUCUAAUACUUUUCCCAUCACCCCUCAAGGUCACAAAGAGUUCACUGUCUUUGCCUUAUUUUAUUAGUAAGUGCCCAGCAUGUUGUUCUUGAAAGGGAGUUAAUAGCUACCUUGCCUCUGAAAAGGGCUGGAAAAUAGAGACACAGAUUAUUGCUGGUUAUAUUUCAACUUUAAUCAUGAGUUACAGUGAAAAU